ACCUGCCUCCAUAGAUCCUUGACAGCACCGCAUCCCGUCCGAUCUGUCAAGUGAAGCAAGGUAUCGCCUAGUCAGUACUGCGGUGGGGGACCACGCCGCUGCUGCAGUUC
rfam:Tstilago hordei, Th4857-4, WGS project CAGI01000000 data, contig: THOR_scaffold_5.00027